AAGCACGAAGUGCGUGCGACCGCAGCCUGGCAGGUCACGCAACCCCAGGCCGCCGCGCCGCCUGCGUGCCUGCAGCCCGCCGGUCCCGCCCCCGCCGCCUGCUUCCGCCGCUUUCGUGCACGCUCGGGCUUCCUGGUGCGCCCGGAGCCUGCCUCGCGUGCCGACCCCGCUGCGUAAUCCGGCGAGGAAUCCCAGAUUCCGCCCGGCCCCCGACGCCCUCUACCGACUUUAGUUCGAGCAGGCUCAUUUGGAAGCAGUGCAUUUUUAUCAGAGGGACUGAAAAGCCUUUCGAAAAUCAGUAAAGAAAAAGGAGCGCGCAUGAGAGUCACGAGACGGUCUUUCACCAUGUUGCCCCGGCUGGUCUUGAACUCCUGAGCUCAAGCGAUCCACCCGCCUCAGCCUCCCAAAAUGCUGGGAUUACAGACAUAAGCCACAGCCCCUGGCCGGCAUCAGGAUUUUUAAAAGCUCCCCAAGUGCAGUCAAGGUUGAGAACAGCUGCUCUAGUGUGAUUUAAUACAGCAUUCGAGGCCUCUCAUAAUCUAGCCUCAGCCUAAUUUUUCCUUCCCCCACCCCAUCUCAGCCUGUACAUAAGCCACAGAGACAUUCUCACUGUUCUCUGAAUGUACUUGGCUCAUUCAUAUUUCCUGGCUUUCUUGCACACGUGUUGUCUGACUCUGGGCACCUAAGGAAAGCUCAGCUCCAGUGUCCUCUCCUCUUCUGUGAAACCUUUCCUGUCAAGCCCACCUUCACUACUAAGUCACUCCUUGCUUCUUGAUCAGAUGGAAGAAUGCUUUGUGCAUAUCUCUACUGGAGCCCUUCUCACUUUACAUUAAAGAUAUCUGUAUAUAGGUCAGCCCACUCCCCUCCCCAGUGGCAUGUGGACCCUUCGUAGCUUCAGCAAUAAGCACAGGGCUUGGUUUCUAUGAAUACUUAUUGAGUGAAUGGAUGAAUGAAUGCCAAUCUUGUACAUUGUUGAUGUUCACCACAUUAAACCCAGUUCUCAAACCAGGAUCACUUGGGAGAUUCUGAGUCAGUAAUCUGAAAGUCUGUAUCAUUCCUACUCAAAGUGUGGUCCAUAAGCCAGCAGUGGCUAUAUUAUCUGGGAGCUUGUUGCAAAUGCAGAAUAUGUAUUUUAACAAGAUCCCCAGGCAAUUCAUAUGCACAUUACACUUUGAGCUAUAUUUUUAACAAGCUCCCAGGUGAUUCCUUUGUAGCCCGGCUGCUGACCCACAUUUGGUAACCACUGUUCUGGACCGUCAUUUACUGAAUGGAGUGGUCCCUGUGUGAUUGCCUACAGGUUUCUUCUAGUCUCCCAUUUUUCUUCCUAGUUAACAAAGCCCAAAUUUUGUUUGGAAGGGUGAUCAGCCCUUCACCCACCAGGCCUUUGCCUCAGGGAAGCUUGACCCCACCUUUAGACCCCAUUUUAGGCCUGAGUAGUCCGAAGGCAUAUCCCAAUCCCCUGGCCAGGGAUUAGUUUAGGGAUAGACAUGUGACCAAAUUCAGCUCACUAAAAUGUGAGUCUGCAGGGGCAAUCUAGAAAAAGUGACCUCUUCCCUAAGAGAAAGCCACAGGAGGAGAAAAAAAUGUCUCAGGACAUUGUCCUGCCAAAACACGAUGUCUUGGACGUCCUGAUUCUGUCUUGCUACCUGCAACACAAGGAAAUCCAACACUGAGGGGUCAGAGCAGAGGGACAGAAAGCACCUGGAUCUUAUGACAUUGUUGAGCUCUUUUGUCUCUUGACUUCUAGUUAUGAGAUGUAAUUUUCUUACUGUUAAAGUCAUUUCUUUUCCUUGCAACCAAAAGCAUUCAUUGAUACACUGAAUAUAGUACAAUAUUUAUUCAAUCAAUAAAUGCCUGGC